rnacentral:lncRNA from 1 species
AGUCCCCGGAAGCAGUAGCCAAGACCAAUUAUAGCACUUAGCAACCCUACCCGGUCAUGGGCUACUCGGUGCAUGCUGUGGUGCUUGAAGACCUCAAGUUUGAAAUGCGCACCGGGUUUUCCAAGCCUGAGGUUCAGGCAUGCUGGAGAGAUGCAAACAGCGCCGCCCAUGCACUAGCUAAACUAGGCCUGUAAUGUAUUGGUGCCCAUGCAUGCUUUAAUGUGGGAGUAUGAUUACUGUCCAGCGGUUGUUGCUGAUCAUGUAAUGGGUCUUAAUAUAGCUUUGGUAGAUCAAUUAUGUACCAGCACUUGAAACGUGUAUUUUUAGAAACCGCUUAUAGAUCAGUCAACUGAUUUUUUUUUUCAAGUUUCAGUCACUUUGCUCUCAACCUUCGACGGCGUGUUUGGCAGCUUGGGAGAUUGGGCAUGGGAGUUUAUCAGUGGCAGUUUGUGAAGGGAUAAGACUUGGAAAAUAGAUUAUUAGUCCUAAUCCUAUGUUUGGUGUGUGAAGGAAAUUGCCGGUGGGAAUUCGAACAGGAAGUUAUUUUUCUAUUUGGUUCAUGGGUUAAUUAGUGUUGCCGUCGCUAGACGUGAGCGAACAGUUCCCUCGCUCGCCUUUUUAACGCCAACGAAAAUAUUGGAUAGAACCAUGGUGCAGCCGCACCUACGCUCAAAACCACACAUCUGUUGGGCCCCAUCCCUGGAAUUUGUGCCUCACGACCAUGGUAAAAUAUGGCGGGAAAGGUCAAAAGAUAGUUAGCAGGCCUAUAGGUUCUAUGAUAAUAAAAUCUACUGCAUGCUAGAAUAAAAUAACCGCUAAAAUAAUCAAGUUUGGUCCAUAGACAUGUACUGUUCAUCUUUCUUUAUUGCUUCGUGAUGCACAACGGUUGUGGGCCCAUGCUUGCAUGGAUGCCUGAACAAUCGCUGCAAAUAUUAUAUCAAGCUGAAUCGGUUUUUGAAUGUUUCAAUUAGACAAAUUUCUAUGCACCACAACAAAGAAAAAAAAAGCAGCCAUAGUAUUCCAGAGAGAAUCAAAACUUGAGCCUGGCAAUGUAGCUGCUCCUGUUGCUAUUCUUCUAUUUUCCCUUUUUUUGUUUAUUUUUCCAUUUUUCUUCUUUUUGUUUGUUUUUUCUUUUCUGUUGUGUUUUUAUUUUGUCCUGCAUACAUAUCACCGUGAUCUACAUUAUUAUUGGGAAGCGUGAACACGACUUCUUUUUUUAUUUUUUUCUUGGGCCUGUGAGCUACAGUGUUAUUGGGAGGGGUGCCACAUUGGAAGUCGAGCCUGAGAAGGCCUACAAACAAUAUGAGAAAAAAACUCACUCUCUGAAUGCUAACGUAAAUGGUGGGUUAACUUAAAGAGUACCGAAUCAGAAAAAAAUGAAUGCUAAUAGGGCUCAGAUCCCAAUGGGAGGUGUACUACAUCCAAGGGUGUUGACCGUAGGUGCGGCCGAGCCAUGGUCCUAAAACUCAGCUCUCUAACGCCAAUUCCCUUUCCCUCGCUUAAUUGCCUGGGUGCCCCUUGGGAAGAGUUUGAUGGGAGUUGGGCUACUAAUUCCCCUUCCCGUUCCUCUUUUAACUCCCAUGUCCGUGAGUCAAUCAAUGGAAUCCAAGUCUCAUUGAUCUUAAACUCCCAUUCCUCACCUCCAAAUUCCCCCCAAACAAACACGCUGCGAAUGUGAUCCAAGGGUUACAGAGCUUUCUUCUUUCUGCACGCUGUGCCUCCGCCACCAGUACUGGUGGAGGGGCGCCCCUAUAUCUUGCCUUCAGCGAGACCACCUUCCAAUUCGCUAAGGGGGCAAGCGAGAUGGACCGGCCCACGCGAGGUUGGAGCCUGUUUUUGUUUUUCUUUUUCCAUUUUUUGCUUUUAUUUUUGUAUGUUUCUUUAUAGUUUCAUACAAAAAAAUCUACAAAAAACAUUUGGGAAGUGGUGAACAAAUAUAGGAAAAAUGUUCAAUAAAUAUUUCAAAAAAUUUGAAAAAGUAUUUGAAAAAUGUUAAUCAAGCAUUUAGAAAAUGUUGAACGUGCACAAAAAAAAUUGUUGAACGUGUUCAAAAAAUGUUAAUAUUUUUAUUUGAAAUAUGUUAAUCAAGCAAUUGAAUUUUUUUUAAAAGUAUGUACAUGAAACAUGUUGAACAAUUAUUCAAAAAAUGUUAAUCUUGAAUUUGAAAAUACUAAUCAAGCAUUUUAAAAUAUAAGAAAUGUGUACUAGAAAAAUAUUGACCACAUAAAAAAAGUUAAAUUUGUAUUGAAAAAUAUUAAACAUGUAUUAGAAAGAUGGUGUUGACAACUUGACAUAUACAAAAAAUGUAGAAUGAAAAAAAUGAAAACCAAAAAAGAAACAAAAUAAACCAAAGAAAAAGAACAAAAACCCGAAGAAAAACAAAUAAGAUGGCAAGAAUAAAAAAAACCCAGUGAAAACAAAAAACUGAAAUAAAAACUAAAGAAAAACAACGAAACAAGAAAGAAAGGAGAAAAACCAGUAAAACCAAAGAAAAAACGCAGGAAAAGGUGAAAAAACAGAAGAAAAGGAAAACCGGUGAAAAAAAUAAAACUGGCUCAAUUCACCUCAAGUACGUGGCGCCCGUACUAUUUAUCAAGAAGUGGACGUGUACAAAGUGGUUGGCAGCGCUGGUUAUUUCUCAGGAGACCGGAGUUUGAUCCCGCUAUCACUCGCUUUUUCCUGCUCUAUUAAUUCUAAUUAACUCUGCAUGAAAUGGGCUGGCCUGAAGCCUGUGGAUGCUUCAGUGAGACGGUACGGUAUCUCGCUGUGUCUCGUUGAAUGCGAAAUAUAGACGCCGCGGUGGUGAAGCCAAGAAAAUCCCAAGAAAAUCAUUUGAGGCGGGCGGCUGUUCUCAAGUCUUAUUGGAUAGGGCCGGCCCAUCAAAAUACACCAUUUUACACAACAAAUUAAUUAAUUCUAAUUUUAUUUUUUGCUAAAAGAAAAUUGUAAUUUUACUUUCGAACAUAGAGCUGCAAAAAACUUCAUCGAUUUUCAAAAAAGUUCACAAAUUUGAAAAAAGUUCAUCGCAUUUAAAUGAAAGUUCAUCGCAUUUGAACGAAAGUUCAUCGAUUCUCUAAAAAAGUUCAUCGACUUUGAAAAAAGUUCAUCAACUGUAAAAUAAGUUCAUCACAUUUGCAAAAAAGGUCAUCAUUUUUUUUGUCAAAAAAGUUCAUAAAUCGACAAAAAGUUCAUCUGAUUUUGGAAGAAAAGUUCACAAUUUUUUUAAAAAGUUCACCGAUUCUGAAAACAAUUCAUGAUUUUGGAAAAAAGUUCAUGGAUUUUGGAAUAAGUUCAACGUUCUUUAAGAAAAAAAGGGUCAUUGAUUCUUCAAAAAACAUAAAUUACAAGGGCAUAAAAGGCUCUCACGACCUAGAAAAUGAAUAGAAAAAGCGAAAGAAACAUUUAGGCACAAGUGGCACGUAGUCAAACUGGUAGUUCAAUGCUAACUCGACAAACAGAUCCCCGGUUCAAACCCCUGCGAGCACACCCUUCUUUUCGCUCGCUCCAGAUUUGAAUGAAAAAAAAAGUUUCGCUCGCUCCAGAUUUGAAUGAAAAAAAAAGAAAGACGGGCCGUCCUAGCACCGUGGCGGGGGGUUUUCUUGUUUUUUUGGAUUUUGCUUGGUUUUUUCAUAGAUUUUUUUUCCUUGUGUGAAACACUUUGUGCUUCUUGAAAAGUGAAAAUUAUAAUUAUGCUUCAACAUGAAGCACAACUGCGCUUCCCGAAAAGAAAAAAGACAUUAAAAUAUGCUUCCGAUUUUUUUUGUUUCUAUUUUUUCUCUAGUUUCGAGUUUUGUCCGAUUUUCAUUUUUUUUGGCUGGCGGUUAUCUUACGAGAAAAACAGUUCGUUCAAACUUAUAAACAUGUGAUCUAGUUUUAAAAUUAUCAAAGCGAUAAACGCACGGCGAAUAUGAUUUGUGAUUCAAACACACGGUUCAAGAGAAUAUGUUUUUUAAAAUAAAUCUACGAUAAAAGCACAAAACAUCCUGGUUGUGACAAGUGUCGCAAAUUCAAUGUACCAUUUAUCACCGUCAAAGGAGGUAGAAGUGACAUUUGCAAAGAGGACCCUUUAAUUAUCGACGCGAUAAACGCAACGGCGAAUAUGAUUUGUGAUUCAAACACACGGUUCAAGAGAAUAUGUUUUUUAAAAUAAAACUACGAAUAAAAGCACAAAACAUCCUGGUUGUGACAAGUGUCGCAAAUUCAGUGUACCAUUUAUCACCGUCAAAGGAGGUAGAAGUGACAUUUGCAAAGAGGACCCUUUAAUUACUGAUUUCGUAGGAGGUCUCCUUGUCCGCGUGACAAGUGUGAAGCACUACACACUCCCUCCGAAAAGACCAAAUGCCUUUUUUGUGAGAAUCACCAGAUCUAUUAUAAAACAUCCGAAACAUAAUAAAAACUAGAUCGGGAACGCGCCUUGGCGCUAGGUGCCGGUCCUAACGUUGUGGUCAAGCGGGUAAUGCUCAAGUUAGUAGGAAUCCAGAUUUAGCAUACACAUUCAAACAGGAAAACAAAAUAUAGAAAGGAAGAUACAUUCACAUGUGAAGACAUUGUGGAGUUGGGGCAGCAUCGAGUAGUCGCUUGAUUUCGCACCCCUGUGGCGGAAUCCCCUCCCGCGUGACCAGCCAGGCGCCAGCUUCGCGAGUAGGGGCUCCUCUGUCUCCGCCUGGUGCUGAGCGCCGUAGGGGUGGUGAUGGAGGCAGCAAGGAGGAAGAGGAGGUCCACAGCGUCAAGGAGCGGGCGCUGCACUCACGGGGAGAGGAGGAAGGCGAGGCAAGAGAGUGGGGACCAAAGGAGAACGUGCACAAGAGAGCCCUCUCCAACCAGGGGUACUUUUGGAAAGUGCAUUGUACUGGAUUCUCUAAAACAACAUAUAAUACGAAACAGAGGGAGUAAAACUUUACGUUACUUGGUACGGCGGUGUUUUUCAUAAAAUUUGAUCAUACAAAAAUAGGCAACAAAUAUCGUACUUGACAGGGCAAUUAUAAUAUUAGCGCUGGGUACCUGGCUCAUCGGUUGUCCCGGCAUUUAAUCAAAGUUUUAGUGCUCCCAAAGGGAAUUAGACCGUUAAGGAUGUACCAUAAAAAGGGCAGGAUAACCUGAGUUCAGUACAAACCAUUUUGUCAAAGUCAUGCCAAAGGGCAAAGCAAUUAGAUAUACCAAAAGAAAGGCAAGCAGGAUGUAUUUAGUCAGUAGAAAAAUUGAUCUGGAAGUUCAUGAAUAAGCGGAAAUAUACUUUUUGUCCAAAAGUAAAUCAAGCCAGAUGAGCAGGGAAUAUUUAAUUAGUACAACGAAUGAUCUGGAGGCUCAUGAUAAAAGGGAAAUACUUUUUUUGCUCCAAAACUAAGCCAGGACGAUAAAUUCACAUCAAGUUAGAUACAAAGAGUAGAGUUAUUAGACAAUAAAAUCAAGCCAGAGCGCCCACGCGAGAUAAGGAACCUACACAGUUCAACUAAAGCAUACUAUUUGAUAACUUCACUUGAUUCGCUUGACGUUGGACUUCUCAUUGUUGGGGAACGUAGUAAUUUCAAAAGAAAUCCUACACACACGCAAGAUCAUGGUGAUGGUAUAGCAACGAGAGAGGAGAGUGUUGUCCACGUACCCUCGUAGACCGUAAGCGGAAGCGUUAUGACAACGCGGUUGAUGUAGUCGUAUGUCUUCACGAUCCGACCGAUCCAAGUACCGAACGUACGGCACCUCCGUGUUCAGCACACGUUCAGCUCGAUGACGUUCCCCAGGCUCCAAUCCAGCAAAGCGUCGGGGAUGAGUUCCGUCAGCACGAUGGCGUGGUGACGAUGAUGAUGUUCUUCCGGCGCAGGCCUUCGCCUAAACUCCGCGAUGAUAUGACCGAGGUGAAAUAUGGUGGAGGGGGGCACCGCACAUGGCUAAGGAACGAUCCGUAGAUCAACUUGUGUGUCAUGGGGUGCCCCCCUGCCCCCGUAUAUAAAGGAGGGAGGGGGGAGGAGGCCGGCCCUAGGAGGUGGCGCGCCAAGUGUGGAGUCCUACUAGGACUCCCUAGUCCUAGUAGGAUUCCACAUCCCUUGUUGGAGUGGGAGAAGGGGAAAGAGGGGGAGAGGAAGAAGGAAAAGGGUGCUGCGCCCCUUGUCCAAUUCGGACCAGAGGGGGGGUGCAGGCCUCCUUCCUUUUGGCCUCUCUCCUCUAUUCCCGCAUGGCCCAAUAAGGCCCAUAUACUCCCCGGCGAAUUCCCGUAACUCUCCGGUGCUUCGAAAAAUACCCGAAUCACUCGGAACCUUUCCGAACUCCGAAUAUAGUCGUCCAAUAUAUCGAUUUUUACGUCUCGACCAUUUCGAGACUCCUCGUCAUGUCCCCGAUCUCAUCCGGGACUCCGAACUCCUUCGAUACAUCAAAACUCAUAAACUCAUAAUAUAACUGUCAUCGAAACCUUAAGCGUGCGGACCCUACGGGUUCGAGAACUAUGUAGACAUGACCUAGAACUAUUCUCGGUCAAUAACCAAUAGCGGAACCUGGAUGUCCAUAUUGGUUCCUACAUAUUCUACGAAGAUCUUUAUCGGUCAAACCGCACAACAACAUACGUUGUUCCCUUUGUCAUCGGUAUGUUACUUGCCCGAGAUUCGAUCGUCGGUAUCUAAUACCUAGUUCAAUCUCAUUACCGGUAAGUCUCUUUACUCGUUACGUAAUGCAUCAUUCCGUAACUAACUCAUUAGCUACAUUGCUUGCAAGGCUUAUAGUGAUGUGCAUUACCGAGAGGGACCAAAGAUACCUCUCCGACAAUCGGAGUGACAAAACCUAAUCUCGAAAUACGCCAACCCAACAUGUACCUUUGGAGACACCUGUAGUACUCCUUUAUAAUCACCCAGUUACAUUGUGACGUUUGGUAGCACCCAAAGUGUUCCUCCGGUAAACGGGAGUUGCAUAAUCUCAUAGUUACAGGAACAUGUAUAAGUCAUGAAGAAAGCAAUAGCAAUAUACUAAACGAUCAAGUGCUAGGAUAACGGAAUGGGUCAAGUCAAUCACAUCAUUCUCCUAAUGAUGUGAUCCCGUUAAUCAAAUUACAACUCUUUUGUCUAUGGUUAGGAAACAUAACCAUCUUUGAUUCAACGAGCUAGUCAAGUAGAGGCAUACUAGUGACACUAUGUUUGUCUAUGUAUUCACACAUGUAUUAUGUUUCCGGUUAAUACAAUUCUAGCAUGAAUAAUAAACAUUUAUCAUGAUAUAAGGAAAUAAAUAAUAACUUUAUUAUUGCCUCUAGGGCAUAUUUCCUUCAGUCUCCCACUUGCACUAGAGUCAAUAAUCUAGUUCACAUCGCCAUGUGAUUUAACACCAAUAUUCACUUAUGUAUGUGAUUAAUACCCAUAGUUCACAUCGUCAUGUGAUCAACACCCAAAGGGUUUACUAGAGUCAAUAAUCUAGUUCACAUCGCUAUGUGAUUAACACCCAAAAGAGUACUAAGGUAUGAUCAUGUUUUGCUCGUGAGAGAAGUUUAGUCAACGGGUCUGUCACAUCCAGAGCCGUAUGUAUUUUGCAAAUAUUCGAUGUCUACAAUGCUCUGUAUGGAGCUGCUCUAGCUAAGUGCUCCCACUUUCAAUAUGUAUCCAGAUUGAGACUUAGAGUCAUCUGGAUCGGUGUAAAAGCUUGCACCGAUGUAACUCUUUACGACGGGCUCUUUUAUCACCUCCAUAAUCGAGAAGUAUUUCCUUAGUCCUCACUAAGGAUAUUCUUGACCGCUGUCCAGUGAUCUACUAUUAGAUCAAAAUUGUAUUCCUUUGCCAAACAAAGCAAGGUAUACAAUAGGUCUGGUUCACAGCAUAGCAUACUUUAUAGAACCUAUGACUGAGGCAUAGGGAAUGACUUUUCAUUCUCUUUCUAUUUUCUGCCAUGGUCGGGUCUUGAGUCUUACUCAACUGCACACCUUGCAACACAGGCAAAAACUCCUUCUUUGACAGUUCCAUUUUGAACUAUUUCAAAAAAAUUAUCAAGGUAUGUACUCAUUGAAAAAUCUUAUCAAGCGUCUUGAUCUAUCUAUAUAGAUCUUGAUGCUCAAUGUGUAAGCAGCUUCAACGAGGUCUUGCUUUGAAAAACUCUUAUUCAAAUAUCCUUUUAUGCUAUCCAAAAUUUCUAUAUCAUUUCCAAUCAACAAUAUGUCAUCCACAUAUAAUAUUAGAAAUGCUACAGAGCUCCCACUCACUUUCUUGUAAAUACAAGCUUCUCAAAAAGUCUGUAUAAAACCAUAUGCUUUGAUCAACUCAUCAAAGCAUAUAUUCCAACUCCGAGAUGUUUGCACCAGUCCAUUGAUGGAUCGCUGGAGCUUGCACACUUUGUUAGCACCUUUAGGAUUGACAAAACCUUCUGGUUGCAUCAUAUACAACUUUUUUAUAAUAAAUCCAUUAAGGAAUGCAGUUUUGAUAUCCUUUUGCCAGAUUUCAUAAAAUGUGGCGUUUGCUAACAUGAUUCGGACAGACUUAAGCAUUGAUACGAGUGAGAAAAUCUCAUCGUAUUCAACACCUUGAACUUGUCGAAAACCCUUUUUGCGACAAGUCGAGCUUUGUAGAUAGUAACACUACUAUCAGCAUCUAUCUUCCUCUUGAAGAUCCAUUUAUACAAUAUGGCUUGCCGAUCAUCGGGCAACUCCACCAAAGUCCACACUUUGUUCUCAUAUAUGGAUCCCAUCUCAGAUUUCAUGGCCUCAAGCCAUUUUGCGGAAUCUGGGCUCAUCAUCGCUUCCUCAUAGUUUGUAGGUUCAUCAUGGUCUAGUAACAUGACUUCCAGAACAUGAUUACCGUACCACUCUGGUGCGGAUCUUACUCUGGAAGACCUACAAGGUUUGGUAGCAACUUGAUCUGAAGUUUCAUGAUCAUCAUCAUUAACUUCCUCACUAAUUGGUGUAGGAAUCACUGAAACUGAUUUCUGUGAUGAACUACUUUCCAAUAAGGGAGAAGGUACAAUUACCUCAUCAAGUUCUAUUUUCCUCCCACUCACUUCUUUCGAGAGAAACUCCUUCUCUAGAAAGGAUCCAUCUUAGCAACGAAUAACUUGCCUUCGGAUUUAUGAUAGAAGGUGUACCCAAUAGUUACCUUUGGGUAUUCUAUGAAGACGCACUUCUCUGAUUUGAGUUCAAGCUUAUCAGGUGAAAACUUUUUCACAUAAGCAUCACAGCCCCAAACUUUAUGAAACGACAACUUUGGUUUCUCGCCAAACCACAGUUCAUAAGGCGUCGUCUCAACGGAUUUUGAUGGUGCCCUAUUUAAAGUGAAUGCAGCUGUCUCUAAUGCAUAACCCCAAAACGAUAGUGGGUAAAUCGGUAAGAGACAUCAUAGAUUGCACUAUAUCCAAUAAAGUACGGUUAUGACGUUCGGACACACCAUAACGCUGUGGUGUUCCAUGUGGCGUGAGCUGUGAAACUAUUCCAUAUUGUUUUANNNNNNNNNNNNNNNNNNNNNNNNNNNNNNNNNNNNNNNNNNNNNNNNNNNNNNNNNNNNNNNNNNNNNNNNNNNNNNNNNNNNNNNNNNNNNNNNNNNNAUGAAGGCCAAACUCGUAACUCAAAUAUUCUUCUCUACGAUCUGAUCACAGAAACUUUAUUUACUUGUUACGAUGAUUUUACACUUCACUCUGAAAUUCUUUGAACCUUUCAACUAUUUCAGAUUUAUGUUUCAUCAAGUAGAUAUUCUCAUAUCUGCUCAAAUCAUCUUGUGAAGGUCAGAAAAUAACGAUACCCGCCACGAGCAUCAACACUCAUUGGACCACAUACAUCGGUAUGUAUUAUUUCCAACAAGUCAGUAGCUCAUUUCAUUGUUCCGGAGAACGGAGUUUUAGUCAUCUUGCCCAAAAGGCACGUUUCGCAAGCAUCAAAUGAUUCAUAACCAAGUGAUUCCAAAAAUCCAUCUUUAUGGAGUUUCUUCAUGUGCUUUACACCGAUAUGACCCAAACGGCAGUGCCACAAAUAAGUUGCACUAUCAUUAUUAACUUUGCAUCUUUUGGCAUCAAUAUUGUUAAUAUGUGUAUCACUAUGAUCGAGAUCCAACAAACUAUUUUCAUUGGGUGUAUGACCAUCGAAGGUUUUAUUCAUGUAAAUAGAACAACAAUUAUUCUUUGACUUUAAAUGAAUAACCGUAUUGCAAUAAACAUGAUCAAAUCAUAUUCAUGCUCAACGCAAAUGCCAAAUAACAUUUAUUUAGGUUUAACACUAAUCCCGAAAGUAUAGGGAGUGUGCGAUGAUGAUCAUAUCAAUCUUGGAACCACUUCCAACACAUAUCGUCACUUCACCCUCAACUAGUCUCUGUUUAUUCUGUAACUCCUGUUUCGAGUUACUAAUAAUUAGCAACCAAACAAGUAUCAAAUACUCAGGGGCUACUAUAAACACUAGUAAGGUACACAUCAAUAACCUGUAUAUCAAAUAUACCCUUGUUCACUUUGCCAUCCUUCUUAUCCACCAAAUAUUCAGGGCAUUUCCACUUCCAGUGACCAUUUCCUUUGCAGUGUAAGCACUCAGUUUCAGGCUUUGGUUCAGCUUUGGGCUUCUUCGUGGGAGUGACAACUUGCUUGUCAUUCUAGUUGAAGUUCCCUUUCUUCCCCUUUGCCCUUUUCUUGAAACUAGUGAUCUUGUCAACCAUCAACACUUGAUGCUCUUUCUUGAUUUCUAUCUUCGUUGAUUUCAACAUCACGAAGAGCUCGGGAAUCGUUUUCGUCAUCCCUUGCAUACUGUAGUUCAUCACAAAGUUCUACUAACUUGGUGAUGGUGACUAGAGAACUCUAUCAAUCACUAUCUUAUCUGGAAGAUUAACUCCCACUUGAUUCAAGCGAUUGUAGUACCCAGACAAUCUGAGCACAUGCUCACUAGUUGAGCGAUUCUCCUCCAUCUUUUAGCCAUAGAACUUGUUGGAGACUUCAUAUCUCUCAAGUCGGGUAUUUGCUUGAAAUAUUAACUUCAACUCCUGGAACAUCUCAUAUGGUCCAUGAUGUUCAAAACGUCUUUGAAGUCCCGAUUCUAAGUUGUUAAGCAUGGUGCACUAAACUAUCAAGUAGUCAUCAUAUUGAGCUAGCCAAACGUUCAUAACAUCUGCAUCUGCUCCUGCAAUAGGUCUGUCACCUAGUGGUGCAUUAAGGACAUAAUUCUUCUGUGCAGCAAUGAGGAUAAACCUCAGAUCACGGAUCCAAUCCGCAUCAUUGCUACCAACAUCUUUCAACACAAUUUUCUCUAGGAACAUAUCAAAAUAAACAUAUGAAAGCAAAAAUGCAAGCUAUUGAUCUACAACAUAAUUUGCAAAAUACUACCAGGACUAAGUUCAUGAUAAAUUUAAGUUCAAUUAAUCAUAUUACUUAAGAACUCCCACUUAGAAAGACAUCCCUCUAAUCCUCUAAGUGAUCACGUGAUCCAAAUCAACUAAACCAUAACCGAUCAUCACGUGAAAUGGAGUAGCUUUCAAUGGUGAACAUCAUUAUGUUGAUCAUAUCUACUAUAUGAUUCACGCUCGACCUUUCGGUCUCCGUGCUCUGAGGCCAUAUCUGCAUAUGCUAGGCUCGUCAAGUUUAACUUGAGUAUUCCGCGUGUGCAAAACUGGCUUGCACCCGUUGUAGAUGGACGUAGAGCUUAUCACACCCGAUCAUCACGUGGUGUCUGGGCACGACGAACUUUGGCAACGGUGCAUACUCACUUCUUGAUAAUUAGUGAGAGAUCAUCUUAAAAUGCUACCGUCAAUCAAAGCAAGAUAAGAUGCAUAAAAGAUAAACAUCACAUGCAAUCAAUAUAAGUGAUAUGAUAUGGCCAUCAUCAUCUUAUGCUUGUGAUCUCCAUCUCCGAAGCACCUCCAUGAUCACCAUCGUCACCGGCGCGACACCUUGAUCUCCAUCGUAGCAUCGUUGUCGUCUCGCCAAUCUUAUGCUUCUACGACUAUCACUACCGCUUAGAGAUAAAGCAAAGCAUUACAGGGCAAUUGCAUUGCAUACAAUAAAGCGACAACCAUAUGGCUCCUGCCAGUUGCCGAUGACUCGGUUACAAAACAUGAUCAUCUCAUACAAUAAAAUAUAACAUCACGUCUUGACCAUAUCACAUCACAACAUGCCCUGCAAAAACAAGUUAGACGUCCUCUACUUUGUUGUUGCAAAUUUUACGUGGCUGCUACGGGCUUAGUAAGAGCCAUUCUUACCUACGCAUCAAAACCACAACGAUAGUUUGUCAAGUUAGUGCUGUUUUAACCUUCGCAAGGACCGGGCGUAGCCACACUCGGUUCAACUAAAGUUGGAGAAACUGACACCCGCCAGCCACCUGUGUGCAAAGCACGUCGGUAGAACCAGUCUCGCAUAAGCGUACGCGUAAUGUCGGUCCAGGCCGCUUCAUCCAACAAUACCACCGAACCAAAGUAUGACAUGCUGGUAAGCAGUAUGACUUAUAUCGCCCACAACUCACUUGUGUUCUACUCAUGCAUAUGACAUCUACGCAUAAAAUCAGGCUCGGAUGCCACUGUUGGGGAACGUAGUAAUUUCAAAAAAAUUCCUACGCACACGCAAGAUCAUGGUGAUGGUAUGGCAACGAGAGGGGAGAGUGUUGUCCACGUACCCUCGUAGACCGUAAGCGGAAGCGUUAUGACAACGCGGUUGAUGUAGUCGUACGUCUUCACGAUCCGACCGAUCCAAGUACCGAACGUACGGCACCUCCGUGUUCAGCACACGUUCAGCUCGAUGACGUUCCCCGGGCUCCAAUCCAGCAAAGCGUCGCGGAUGAGUUCCGUCAGCACGACGGCGUGGUGACGAUGAUGAUGUUCUUCCGGUGCAGGGCUUCGCCUAAACUCCGCGACGAUAUGACCGAGGUGGAAUAUGGUGGAGGGGGGCACCGCACACGGCUAAGGAACGAUCCGUAGAUCAACUUGUGUGUCAUGGGGUGCCCCCCUGCCCCCGUAUAUAAAGGAGGAAGGGGGGAGGAGGCCGGCCCUAGGAGGUGGCGCGCCAAGUGUGGAGUCCUACUAGGAGUCCCUAGUCGUAGUAGGAUUCCACCUCCCUUGUUGGAGUGGGAGAAGGGGAAAGAGGGGGAGAGGAAGAAGGAAAAGGGUGCUGCACCCCUUGUCCAAUUCGGACCAGAGGGGGGGCGCAGGCCUCCUUCCUUUUGGCCUCUCUCCUCUAUUCCCGUAUGGCCCAAUAAGGCCCAUAUACUCCCCGGCGAAUUCCCGUAACUCUCCGGUACUCCGAAAAAUACCCGAAUCACUCAGAACCUUUCCGAACUCCGAAUAUAGUCGUCCAAUAUAUCGAUCUUUACGUCUCGACCAUUUCAAGACUCCUCGUCAUGUCCCCGAUCUCAUCCGGGACUCCGAACUCCUUCGGUACAUCAAAACUCAUAAACUCAUAAUAUAACUGUCAUCGAAACCUUAAGCGUGCGGACCCUACGGGUUCGAGAACUAUGUAGACAUGACCUAGAACUAUUCUCGGUCAAUAACCAAUAGCGGAACCUGGAUGUCCAUAUUGGUUCCUACAUAUUCUACGAAGAUCUUUAUCGGUCAAACCGCAUAACAACAUACGUUGUUCCCUUUGUCAUCGGUAUGUUACUUGCCCGAGAUUCGAUCGUCGGUAUCUAAUACCUAGUUCAAUCUCAUUACCGGCAAGUCUCUUUACUCGUUACAUAAUGCAUCAUUCGUAACUAACUCAUUAGCUACAAUGCUUGCAAGGCUUAUAGUGAUGUGCAUUACCGAGAGGGCCCAAAGAUACCUCUCCGACAAUUGGAGUGACAAAACCUAAUCUCGAAAUACGCCAACCCAACAUGUACCUUUGGAGACACCUGUAGUACUCCUUUAUAAUCACCCAGUUACGUUGUGACGUUUGGUAGCACCCAAAGUGUUCCUCCGAUAAACGGGAGUUGCAUAAUCUCAUAGUUAUAGGAACAUGUAUAAGUCAUGAAGAAAGCAAUAGCAAUAUACUAAACGAUCAAGUGCUAGGCUAACGGAAUGGGUCAAGUCAAUCACAUCAUUCUCCUAAUGAUGUGAUCCCGUUAAUCAAAUGACAACUCUUUUGUCUAUGGUUAGGAAACAUAACCAUCUUUGAUUCAACGAGCUAGUCAAGUAGAGGCAUACUAGUGACACUAUGUUUGUCUAUGUAUUCACACAUGUAUUAUGUUUCCGGUUAAUACAAUUCUAGCAUGAAUAAUAAACAUUUAUCAUGAUAUAAGGAAAUAAAUAAUAACUUUAUUAUUGCCUCUAGGGCAUAUUUCCUUCACUCAUAUGGCAAGUUACACGAACCUGCUGUUAGUAUUUAGUUUAGCCAAUUAAGCCAUAGCAAAAAAAAUAUGGAUAACAAGGUUAUGUUCUUUGAACUGACCGCAUGUGGAUAGUGAGCGAUAGUUUGCCCCAUACUCAUGUUCAAAGUUGGCACCAUACCGGUCCUAUGUGUCGAGUGUAAGAGUUCAGUUUAACAUGAGAAGAACAAUCUAUUUAACAAUGGUGUAAGAGUUCAUUUAACAUGUAGAGAACAAUCUAUUGAAUGAUGGCGUAAGGUCAGCAUGCUACCUCUUGUUAAGGUCCUUUCACAAAGACAUAGUUCGCUACACGAAGCUUGGCCCCUUGUCUUUUUGGCACAUUGGCGUUUAUGGCGGCACUUACCUGAAUAUUUGAGACAAUCAGUGUCUUGGAGUUCUGUUUGAUGUAAUCUUCUUUUGCGACGUGUUUGUUGGGAUCCGAUGAAUUAUGUGUUCAUGAUCAGAUUAUUCAUGAAUACUGAGUCUUCUCUAAACUCUUUUAUGCAUGAUUAUUAUAGCUUUGUAUUUCUCUCCAAUCUAUCGGUUUGGUUUGGCCAACUAGAUUGAUUUAUCUUGCAAUGGGAGAGGUGCUUUGUGAUGGGUUUAAUCUUGCAGUACUCCAUCCUAGUGACAGAAAGGGAAAUGCCAAGUAUUUGUAUUGUUUCCAUUAAGGAUAAAACGAUGGAGUUUAUUCAUAUUGCUUUAGUUUACUUUGGCUACAUCAUGUCAUCUUGCUUAAGACGUUACUCUGUUUUUAUAGCUUAAUACCCUAGAUGCAUCCUAGAUAGCGGUCGAUGGGUGGAGUAAUAGUAGUAGAUCCAGGCAGGAGUCGAUCUACUUGUCUCAGACGUGAUGCCUAUAUACAUGAUCAUUGCCUUGAAUAUCGUCAUAACUAUGCGCUUUUCUAUCAAUUGUCCAACAAUAAUUUAUUUACCCACCGUAUACUAUGUGUUCGAGAGAGAAGCCUCUAGUGAAAACUAUGGCCCCCGGUCUACUUUUAUCAUUUAUAAAAUCCAAAAAUACCUUGUUGCAUUUAUUUUAUUUUAAUUCAUUUUGUAUUUUAUCUUAGCUAUCUACCACUACGAGAUUUGAUCCUUGCAAAUAACAGUGAGGGGAUUGGCAACCCCCUUGAUCGCGUUGGGUGCAAGUAUUUUCUUUUGUGUGUGUAGGUGCUGCUAACAAGGUUCUGUGUGAUUUUCCUACUGGAUUAAUAACCUUGGUUUUUAAUUGAGAGAAAUACUUAUCUAUAAUGUACUGCAUCAUCCUCUCUUUUUCAAGGAAAUCCAACGCAGCUGACAAGUGGUACUGACUAGCACGGUCAACAGGGCAAGAGAGCUCCUGAAGCAGCUGGCGAAGCCACGAACACUCGGCGACAGCGUUGGCCACCGCACGACACUCAGCCUCAGCACUGGAACGAGAGACCGUAGGCUGCCGCUUGGACGACCACGAGAUAAGUGAUGGUCCAAGGUAGACACAAUAGCCUGAAGUGGAGUGACGAGUGUCAGGGCAGCCCGUCCAGUCUGCAUCGGAGUAGGCGGUGAGGGCGGUGUCGGCGGAGGCGUGAAGCAUGACGCCAAGAUCCAUAGUGCCACAGAUAUAGCGGAGAAUCCGCUUGAUGGCAGCCAAGUGAACGUCUCGAGGAGCAUGCAUAUGCAGACACACCUGUUGCACAACGGAUCUCCGGUCGAGUCAGAGUGAGGUACUGGAGUGACGAGUGUCAGGGCAGCCCGUCCAGUCUGCAUCGGAGUAGCUAGACAAAAAAUGAUGUUAAGUUUAUUUACAAUUGAAAAGCCUAACAAUCUUAUAUUACCUCAAGCUCGUACGUACAUGUACCAUUACUCAAUCUUGUGUGCCACCCACUGCGGGAGAUCAGGCUCAGUUGCUCCAGGGUGAACUCGUGAUUAUCAGACGAGCUACUGCCUACUAGCCGGCAGCUCGCCCACAUGACAGGUGAAUGAAUAAGGCCACAAAACCAGCAGCCAAUAAUAUAAAUACCAGCUCCUGCCUACUAGCCGACAGCUGUGCAUUUGUAGAAGCUAGCCGUGCAUGGCUUGCAUAUAGAAUCUCUAAUAGGCCCAAGUGCAACAGACCGAAGUGUAUGUGUUCAGUGCCGUGCUUGGCCCAUAUAUGAAGGCCGGUUCGCCUGAUAGCGCAAGGCAUGUGCUAGGCCGCCGUCCCAAGAACUAGCCCGAAACCAAGCGAACCUGCCUAGUUUUUGCCUAAAACGAUGAAUUUUGGCCUAGAGGGGUGAAUUUUGAGAAUUGACAAGGUUUGCCAUUUUUUACCUAAAUUUAGGCCAUUUUUAGCCAGAACUGAGACCUGCCUGGUUUUGUAUACCUCAAACCUGGCUAGUGCCUCGAUCAAGUUGUGGGCUUGGUUGGGCCUUGCCUCGGCCGGGUUUAGUUGGUUGUUCAUUUACUUUGUUCGUUGUCAAGAUCAAUUACCGUCGUCAAGGUCGGUAAAAUAAAAGAGACAAGAACGCGACAGUAUACAUCCAUAGGCGAUGUGCACACACAUUUAGAUUAAAGAGAUGCGUACGCUAUGUUUAGCUAACACAAUACAUGCAUGAACCGAGUGCACGAACGUGUUUUAAGAAGCUAGCUAACUUAGGUUUUCCGUUUUUUGGCAUGUUAGUGAUCACCAUAAACCAAAUCUAGAUGAAUUAUUGCUCGACCUAGUGGCUAGUACUCCCUCCGUUCCUAAAUAUAACCUUUUAGGAAUUCCACUAUAAACUAUAUACGGAGCAAAAUGAAUAUGUCUAUAUACAUCCGUAUGUACUUCACAGUGGAAUCUGUAAAAUGUCUUAUAUUUAUUUAGGAACGCAGGAAGUAUAUCAGUUAGAUACAGUAAAAAGAAUAUUGUUUUAUUGGUCAAAGUCUCAACCCGUUGGCAUGCUCUGUUUAGGGUGGGCAUUUUUUUCUCGAAUACGCACGAGUGUGCGUGCAUUAUAUUAAAGCUCUGCGCAGGCAUGAAUGAGCUACUGCAAAAAUGCGGCAGUUCACACUCCCAAAUGAACCAACAACAAACUUGAAUAAAUAAGGAGAAAAUCAUACACAGAUUAUGGCAUGCCACUCCGGUUGAAGAAUUGAAUGUCAUUGCACGAGAAGUAAUCGACAUCAAUUUCAACACGAUUUCAAACACUUUCGGUGGAAAACAAGCAAAAAAGAACAAGUUGCAUCAUCUGGCGGCUAGUCUUGCCAUUUUACAAUGUGAUUCAAAAUCUCAGCUCUUGGGAGGAUACUUCUCUGCUCGGUGACUUGCGACCUUUGGGGGUAACCACGGCGUCAUCAACAGUCUUAAUGGCACCAACACCAAACAUUGGCCCCUUGUUGCCUGCAUCUGUAGCAAACCACAACAUAGUCAACAACAGUUUGACACGUCACAUGAGUCAAUCGAUUCAAACAAAAUGCCUAAUGUUGAUAGAAAAAAGCCAUACAUAUGUUGAUUAUGCUCGCACUAACUAAUCUAAGCCGCACAAAAAAGCAACUGUGCCACAAUGAAUUGGCAAGAGGCAAUAAACAGAGACCUAUGUAUGAGAUCCUCUACUGCAGAUAUUUCAGCAAAAGAUGAAAGUCAUGCAUCCAACUUCGGGAAGAAUCAUUAACGAGCGGCCUGUACUAAAAGAAAAAAAAACAUGACAAACAUGUGUACUUGUAGCCCACAACCUACAAGAGUAUAUAUGAUUACCAACUCACUGUAAGCAGUCUGAGAAACAUCUGAUUAAAAAUCAGUAGAUAAAUCUCAGUUUCGCACUCGCAUGACACUAUUCUCUCAAAAAGAAUUGCGCCUCCAUCUCUCACUGCUUUUAAUACCAAAAACUUAAAUGUGCAUACUGCAACAGUGCAAAGAACAUUGGUUUCCUGAUACUGGCUAGGCUACAGCACUAACUGAAAAUCAUUGGCUAUCACUCAUACCAAGUCCUACGAUGGCAAGGUUUAGUCCAGGAAUUCUCAGCUACCUGGUGGUCAGAAUCAAUUUUAAGCUACCAUCAAAACAAAAAGAUCUAUUAAAAGGGGUUAAAGCCCCACACAGUAACAUACGAUCAUAGGUUUUUGUUGGUUAUUAGGCCAUGUAAAUCAACUGCCAUAAUUCAAAUUUCCAUCACAGCAGCAGAAUUGACCUAGCAUUAUCAACACCCCAGCUAGGGCAUCACAACCAAACUAAAUCACCAAAAAAUCAGCUGGGCUUCAGCAAGCUUCAGAACAACUGAAGGAAAACCUCUCCCUCCAAGCUACUUAGCAACUACAGCAGGCUUAAGAAGUUAAGAAGCAUGAACUGGAAAAUAAUGCCAAAAAGGUCUUAAACAAAUCACCAAAGCUUGUCUUCUUAGAGAUUAUUUGUAUUACGUUAGUAGUGCAUAUCUUAGCCUGUGAGAUCUAAGAUGGGUCCUUACGAUGGAAUGGUUUAGUCCAGGAAUUCUCAGCUACCUGGUGGUCAAAAUAAAAUUUAGCCAGGCCACCAUUUCUCGAAACAAAAAAGAUUUAUUAUUAGGGGGUUAAAGCCCCACACUAUAACAUAAGAGUGUGGUUACCACUGUCUUUGCUAAACCAGGCGGAAGAACAGUAGUGGGAAAAGGUGCCUCCCAACGAGUGGAAACAAAGAUACUAUCUAUAUCAGCGACCACAGGUUUUUGUUGGUUAUUGUCCCAUGCAAAAUCAACUACCAGAAUUGAAAUUUCCAUCACAACGACAAAAUUGAUCUAGUACCAACAACACCCCAGCCAGCGCAUGAAUAGGACAUCGCAACCGAAUCAAAUCACCACAAAUCAACUUCGGCUCAUUGGCCAGCACACAAAGCAGCCUUAGCUCAAAGGCUAGGUCACAGAUUACAGGGUGGGAAGGCGAAACGUAGGACUUACCAGUCAAAGUUGUAGCCAAUGCCAAACAUCACUGUGCAGUGAAUUCACCCAUCGCGUGGCACUUAGGUUUGCUCCCGGUGAUCACUUCCAGGAUUUGUCUUUAUAUAUGCACUCCUGGGAUAUUCAAAAAGCGAGUUAGGUCUCUCAAAUUAAAGAUGACACAAAACGUAAGUGAAAAGAAGUCCAAAUCUCUUCAGGUUGUAUAACAGUCUAACAAGAACUCGUGAGUUGCAAAUAACCAAAAGCUUAAAGAUAAUGUAAAUGAACCAAGCUUCAGUUGAAACAUUGUCAAUCUGUUGUUAAGUAAAAAGGACCUAUAAACCAUUGCCAUAUUGCAAAUAUGUACAUCUUUGCUAAAACUAACAGCAGAUUUCUCAACGAUAGAUCACACUUCAUACAAGGUAAACAUAAAAUUCUUCAAAUGGGGUCUUUACAGGGUGAUCGGGACAGCACGCAGAGAGCCAUAGAGACAAAUUGAACACUGUCGUGGUGUCCAAGCCGAGUAGAAAACAACAAUGUUUAUUACAUGAUGCCGCAGAAACUAGAGGCAUAUUGCACAAUAACUAUGUAGAGCAGAAGAGGCCACACAGUCUCCCCAACUUGUUAUUAUAUCUCCAGCUCAAUUUCUGCCAAAUCAUUGGCGCGUCGCGGGCAGAGGAUUCCUCCGCCAAUUAUUUGGCUUGCCCAUAGAUUGGCAAGGCUGGCCGUGGCGCAAUCCAAACAAUCCCUAUUUUCCAGUACAUAAGAAAAAAUUCAACAGAAACAAAACCGAAUGAAUCCAUGAUUACAUCACGAACCCAGAUAAGCCAGACCAAAACCAAGCAUAAUGAAUCCAUUCUUAUCAAUAUCAUGACUAGAGAUACAUAUAUAGAUAGUAAUCCUAAAUCCUAUCCUAUCAAUUCAGAAUCGGGCAGCAUGACUAAAGGCUCAAAUAUGAACAUGUGUAUUAUGUUGACUCCUGAUAACUGUAGACAAACCCGAAGACAACAACUUGGCAUCAUUCAGCAGACAGGAAUUGUCAACAUGGAACGAAAGCAUGUCUUCCUAAUGAACUUCAGCUCGAUGGACAGCUAUCCAGCACACGGAGCAGCCUUAUCUGGAAGGCUAGUUCCCAAAGCACGGUAGAGGCAAAACAGAUGACUUACCCGUCAGAGUUGUAGCCGAUGCCAAACAUCACCGCCGCAGCAGCGUGAAUGCGCCUGUCACGUGGCACACAUGUUUGCUCCAAGUGAUCACUUCCCAGUUUUCUUUCCUUUAUAUACGCACUCCUGACAUAUUCAAAGAACCAAAUCAGGUCUUGAGAAUGAAGACAACACAAAAAAGGCACUGACUAAAUAAGUGAAAAGUCCAAAUCUCUUCCGGUUGUAUAACAUGCUAACAAGAACCCAUGAGUUGCAAAUAACCUAAAACUUAAACAAAAUAUAGAUAAAGCAAGCUUCAAUCGAAACAUUGUCCAAUCUGCUAUUAAUGAAACAACACCUAUAAACCAUUGCCAGAUUGCAAAUAAAUACAUAUUUGCUAAAACCAAUAGCAGAUUGCUCAAAGACAAAUCGCACUACAUACAAGGUAAACAUAAAAUUCUUCUAAUGGGGUAUAUACAGGGUGAUCGUCAUAGCAUGCAGAGAGCCAUAGAGAGAAUUUGAACACUGCCUGAUAACUUAUUCGUGGUCCCCAAGCCGAGGGUGAUAAUUUUUUUAGGGCCACCUUUGACAUCAAAACUCUAAACCUAAGACCACACUCAUUUCUGUUACUAAUACGAACAAAUAAAGGUACACGGGCAGCUCCCAGGAGAAUAGGAGCAGGGAGAACAGGAGCAGAGAAGAUGCAGGGCCUCAGCAAGCUUUUGAACAACCAAAAGAAAACCUCUCUCUCCGUGCUACACAACACCUUACAUCAGGCUUAAGAAGUGAAGAAGCAUGAUCUGAAAAAUGAUGCCAAAAAGGUCUUACACAAAUUAGCCUGUCGAAUCUAAGUGGGAUACUAUGGCAACGUUUAGUCCAGAAAUGCUCAACUACCUGGUGAUAAUAAUCAAUUUUCAGCCAAACAAAAAGAUCUAUUGUUAGGUGUUAAAACCCCACAAUGUAACACAAGAGGAGAGCGGUCAUCGCGUGUCUUUAGUGAAGCAGGCAGAAGAGCAGAGUAGUGGGAAAAUGUGCAUCUCAACGAGUGGAAACGAAUAUCCUGUCUAUAUCAGCCAACAUAGGUAUUUGUGGUUAUUGGCCAAUUUAAAUCUGAGAAGGUGAGUGGGAAUGUUAUUUGUAUGGUCUCUGGACUACUUAUAGGCAAAGGUAGCAGAUUAACCUUAUAACUCCCUGUAAAACAAAAAUAUAAGACAAAAAUAGAUAUUUAACUAGUGCGGUUUUGACAUCAGAAAUAGAAACAAUUCUGUUUACCUAUUCAAGGUUUUCUAAAUAAACCAUGUAAACAGUUUAUCAUGCAAGCAGUCAAAGAAGAUAUACCAUUGCCAGUCCAACUGAAAGGAACCAUGCUGUGCAAUCUUCUUUCCAAAAGCAGUCCUUAGGGCCCGCUCAACCAUCAUGUGCGUGCCACAUUCUGCUGCUACUCUUAGUCUCAGGCAAUGAUGUGAUCUUCCAGGACCAAGCCUUCCCUGCAAAGCAACAUAAAUAUGACACACAAAGUACAGGUUGGGAACGAUCAAUGGUAGUAUUAGAAUUCAGAAGACUGAUGCUUACUUCAGUAAGCUCGAAACCAUGUCCUUCCCCAUGGAGGAUAUUCAUGAAUGGAACACGCAAGUUAUCAGAAGCAAUCUCUGCAUGUCCAUGUGAUGCAUCAUUGAACCCAAAGACUAACAUUGGUCUCUUUCUCUUCAACCGGGAGUGUUGAUAUCCAAUAAGAUCACUGACUGCUGCUUGCAUUUAGGUGCGGACAAAACUAUUUUUCCUGCAUGAAACAAGCACCACUUAAAUCACAGGAAAAAUAUUAGAUCACCCACAACAUGUCCAUGUUACGCUUACCAUUAAUAUGAGGACUUUACACUCGGGUCAAUAGUCCUACCCGUCCACCAUUUUUGCCAUUUUUCUCAUAGAAAUCCUUGUCUGUCGAGGGAUAAAUAGUCAAGUAAUCAGUGACGCAUAAGACUCAAAUUAAAGAAAAUGAUGCCAUUUCUAUAGUCCAUCAAAAGAGGAGGGCGUGGAAAUGUAUGCCAUGGGGAUAUAAUUGAUUUGCUGCUAAUACACAAGAAUCUGGAGGUCUUGGCCAACAUACUAAAUUACUCGUACUAUUUUUGCUGCUAGACUAAAAAUACUUUUCAGGUGAGAAAAAAAAUAGACAAAAGGAACUGUUGGUAACUCUACAAACCAGGAUCAGCUACACAUCUCGUCCAAAGCUAUUUGAUAGCCCAUAACAUGUAAUAGCUUUGUAACUAAAGAGAGAGGUGGGAGAGGCAUUAGUAAGCACAUGUGAUAAUAUAUCAGCAGUCAAAAAACCAUAUCACUGAAGGUUAAAUCAUGGCUAAAUUCACACUUUGGAGCUAAAUCCACCAAAACAGGUUGCAUCAAAGAUCAUCACAAGAAUAGCAGAUGUUCAACACAGACCAUCGCCAUAGCCCAAAACCCUAGAUAUUGCCAUGGCUCGAUAGCAAUGCAUGGGAACACAGAGCAUGACAUAACAGAACACAACGAUUAUGAAUAAUACUGCAGUAGCAGCUGUGUCACAAAGAACCAAGCACACAGUAAAACUAUGAUGGCAACAUGAAAAAUAAAGUGCAAUAUGAAGACCUUGCAGACGAUGCAGGAAUAGUUAAAUGUUAUGGUGACCAUUAAUAUCAAGAUUUUACGCGUCAUGUAAACAAUUAAAUGAAUCAAGCUCAUGCAAGUUAAUGGUGAUGUAAGCAAAUAAACGGAUUAUGCAAGAAGUCGCAAAGGUUAUACCUUUACCAGGUCCGACUGAAAGGAACCAUGAUGUGUGAUCUUCUUUCCAAAAGCGGUCCUGCGUAAGGCCCCCUCAACCAUCACAUCCAUGCCAUGUUCCGCUACUACUCUUAGUAUCAUGCAAUGAAGUAGUCUUCCAAGGCCUAGUCUUCCCUGCAAAGCAUCUUAAAUAUGACACAGUAAGUACAGGUUGGGAUUGAUCAAUACUAGUGUCAGAAGAGUGCUGCUUACUUGAGCAAUCUCGAAACCACAUCCUUCCCCGAGGAGGAUAUUUGUGACCGGAAAACACACGUUAUCAGAAGUAAUCUCUGCAUGUCCUUGUAGUGGGUCAUCGAACCCAAAGACUAACAAUGGUCUCUUUAUCUGCACUCCAGGAGUGUUGAUAUCCACUAAGAUCAUUGGCUGCUGCUUAUGUUAAGUGCAAAAGAAUCUGUUUUUCCCUGCAUGAAACAAACACCGCUUAAAUCACAGGAAAAAUGUACAUCACCCGUAGCACCACUUUCAUGGAUAGACGUUACGCCUACCAUUAAUAUGAGGACUUUUCACCUCGGGUCCAUAGCCCCACCGGCCCACCAUUUCUUGCCUUUUAUCGCAAGAAUAGAAAUCCCUGCCUGUCAAGGGAUAAAUAAUGAAGUAAUCACCAAGGCAGAAAACUCAAACGAAAGAAAAUAAAAAUGAAGCCAUUUGUAUAGACUAUGAAAAGUGGAGGGCCUGGAAAUGUACACCAUGAGGAUACAAUUGAUUUCCUAUUAAUACUGUAGAGAAGUAAGAGAGGAUGCAACAGUGAACUUGUAUUGAUCAUCAACAGCGAGUACAUAUAUACAGGGUAGCGGACGAGAAUUUGUAAUAGAGAAACCUCAAUAAACUCCUACGUAUACGCCUAUACAGGAGAUCUUAGAGGGAGACAUGGGCGUUAGGCUAGCUGCCAUGCACCGGAGAUAAUAAACCAAGUUCUUACAAGAAAUACAGAGGAAUUUCAGGGUCUCAACCAGCAUACUGCAUGACUAAUUUUGCUGUUGAACUGAAAAAUCAGCUGAAAAAAAUAGACAAAAGAAACUGGUUGUAGCUGUAGGAAGGAACUAGGAUCAGCAAUAAGAUCUCGGCAACAGCUAUAUGAUAGCCCAUAUAACAAGGUAAUAGCUUUGUGACUAAAGAGGAAGGGGGGAGGGAGGCGGGAGGCGUUAAAAAGGUGUAAGCACAUGUGACGAAGAUAUCAACAGCCCAGAAAACGUAUCGCUGAAGGUAAAAUCCUGGGAAAUUUUGCACUUCAGAGGUAAGUAAAUCCACUAAAACGGACCAUCACUACAGCCCAAAACCCUAGAAAUUUCCAUGGCUCGAUAUGGGUACACAGAGCAUGACAGAACAUAACACAACGAAUCUGAAUUAUACUGGAGUAGCAGCUACGUACGUCACAGAGAACCGAGCAGACAACAAAACUAUGAUGGCAACAUGGGAAAAAAGUGCAAGAUGAAGACCUUGCAGCAGUAGAUGGCGGCUCCUUGUCCUUGUCCGGCCGGCUGACUGAUGGAUGUUUGCUUGCCGACUAGCAAUCGAUCGAGGGAUGGAGAAGAGUAGAAUCCGGCAGCGAUUUGAAUGUAACGGGGAAAUGGGGGGGCUUCGAUGAGUCAGUAAGAGAGAGACCAGAGAGGAGGGGCGGGAGAAUCUGCGAGGGGGUCGGGGUGAGGCGACCCCCGUAGAUCCGUGGAGCCCGAGCCUGGUUCGGCGCCGGCGAGCGGGCGCCAGAGGCCACCCACCGCACGCCCGCGUCGUGGCCCAAGAAGAACCACACAUGGGCUCCUCUCCCGGCACGCGUUGUGGGUGUGGAGGCAACGUCGAGCACCUCCGUCGCGGCCCGGGUAGAAGCAACCAACGGCGACGUGGAUCGGGAAGCACCAAGGCGGAUCUGGAAGCGCCAUAGCCGACGCUUGACCAGCUCGACCUGGGUCCUAGGUUAGGGCCACACGGUCGGGCGGCUGCGGGAAAUCAGAUGGGCGAUAAAAUUUUGGGAGGCGGCCGCGGAAAAUCCCGGCGGGCAUGAAAAUUUCACGCACAGGCUAGAGGUGGGGUCGGGGUGGUGUGAUUUUUUCUUCUUUUUAAUUAAAGAGAGAGAGGGAGAGUGGGGCUUUGGUGGCUCUCUCCUUUUUCAUUUAAUUGGAAUUAACUCUAGAAUGUUUGGCUUCUUCAUCGGGGACAGUGUUUUCUCGGGGAAUUUGAGGAUUUGCCAAAUCUUUCUUUGCACUUUCAGGAUUUGCCCUCAUUUUCGUCGUCAUUAAUGGUUUGCCACACGUUUGCUGAAAUCUUGGUGAUUUGCCCCUGACAAGAUGGACCCAUAGAGAAAUGUCGAAAAUGCCCCUGCAAUCCCCAACCUAGUCCCGUCUCUCACCUCUCCCAGGCCCGAUGAAAUCACGGCGAUGACCUGCACCGCUGCAUGGACCGGAGCCUUACACGCAUGAAGCUCUGACUUCUCUGUCACGGCGAGAAACAAGCAUGAGUGCACUCAUUGGCGAACCGGGCCGUCGACAUCAGAAGGACAGGUCACGACCCAGCUCCGCAUUCCACCAUUGUCGUCGCCGCACAAGUCGCAGCGCCAACCACACGCAACACCGGUUGGUCACUUGCCAACCGUGAUGCCAUGCAUGUCGAGCCCAAGGUAAGCGCGGAGAAGGAUCAUCGAUAUUCAAAGCAACACCCCAAGGGGGGAAACGCUGCAGGAACAACGUCGUUGCCUGACCCAGAUGAGUCAAGGCUUUCGUCCGAUGAACCAGAUCCGAGGAUGCAGCGGAUCGAAGAAACUCCAUGACAGCGCCUUCAAGAAUCGGGCAAGCUUUCGAUACCCUCACACAGUCGGCCGAAGUCGGGCCAAACUGCACAAACAUCGGGAGCAAACAGAGGAUAUGAGGAUUCCGGCGGGGUUGAGUUGAGCCUGUGAUCUCUCGUAUGUUUGUGAGGGUGUUUGGAACCCUAGUGCAUAGGUGUCAACUCGUAGAUAGGUUAAGGCUAGGGUAUUGUUGCAGUGCGUUGUUGAUUGCGACGAGGGUGGCGGUGUGUUCUAAUGAAAUGAAAUAAAAAAAAAUAUGAAAACAUAUAUUUUGUGCAUUAGCUAGGUUUUUUUAGAACACAGUACAGACGUGGGCGAUCAUAUAUACGCGCAUUCAUUCACCCCUAUUAACACACACAUGCACAACAUAUCCCCUAUGAUCAUCUCUGAGAGAUUGAGUCGGCAUAUCAUCUUAGGGUUGACGAAGUUACCUCAUAGGCGCCUCAUAGUCGACGGGAACGUAUGCUCCCACUAAACGUUUGCUCGCAUGCAUGUGCAUUUGAACGAGCUAGCUAUAUGCUCCAUCCGUCCCUAAAUAUAAAUCCUUUUAGAUAUUUUAAUAAUGACUAUAUAUAUAUAUACAUGUAUUUUUUAGUAUAAAUCCACUCAUUUCGAACGGUAUGUAGUCUAUAUUGAAAUCUCUAAAAAGGACUUAGAUUUAGGAACGGAGGUAGUAUUUCUUGAAAAAAAAAGAGAAGGACCUAGCUAUAUAUAGUAAGUGUAUAAGUUUUGUGCACGUGCACUAGCUAGUAGCUAGCCUAGCAGCUAUAGCAUCAGUUAUUUUUUCUACAACAAUUUGUUGUAUCGAAAAAUGAAACCAAGUAGGAGUACUCACUAGAUGGAGUAUUUCAUUUGGCGCGUGGACUUUGGAGACCGUCGCACGUGCACUGAGAUGGAAACUAUGCCGGCGCGUGUGAGUUCGGAGUGGAGCAUGAUCGAGCCGACGACGCGUUCUUCGUGCGUAUGCAUGCCGUACGGCGGCAGCAGAAUCGGAAAGUUGGUCGCGGGCAGGGAGACGAUCGAUCAGAGGAAAAAAGUUUCAAGUCGCGAUGGCGGCGGCGGCGACCGGAGAGCAAAUUUGGUUGUCCGACGAACCCCGCGGCCGUGAGAGAGGCGAACGCCUGCGCGCGCCUGGCUCUGGCUGGACGAGAGGGCGAAACCAUGCAUGGGCCCGACGUGCAGUCCUGCCGCCUAUGCCGUUUCCGAUUUGCCGGCCGUGUUGCUGCGAUGUAUAGCAAUAGCAUGACGAGGAAUUGAUUCGUUGGCGGUGCGUGGCAGAGCGGAGAGGAGGAAGAAGACGAGGUCCGUUGAGCCCGCAGCGGAGCGGUGGGAAGAGGUGAAGUGCUCCCAACGCACGGACGCCGGCGGUGGGCGUGCAGCUUGAGAAAGACGUUGCCUUUGUGCGCCGACGCUGAUGGACCUUGACGCACGAGCAGGAUUGACAUGGAUUCCAGCGGGCUCUCGGAUGAUUUGUCCUUCUUGUGGAUUUGCGGCCAGUCAUGUUAGUCAUGAGACAUGAAUGAAGAAUGAGAAGCACGCGAUUUGGCUCUGUGGUGUGCGUCGGCCGGAUUCCUGCAAGAAAGGACUUGAGUGGGCGGAGAAGAGUUGGCAGGUCAGGUGGCAUGGCGCUGACCGGAGACGGGAGAGACGAGCUUAGGCGCUCCGCUGGAUCGAGGAGGAAAGAGAAGAUGCAUGCACGGCAGGUGUGGCGACGAGAGGCCCAGCCGGUCCUAGCUGGCCUUGCACGUACGCACGCACGCAUGUUGGUCUUAUCCUGCAUGCGGCAAACGCCGGCAAGGAUUCAUGAGGGCUUGGAGUUGCCGUCGCCGGAGAGGUCGCAGUGGCAUGCAUGCAGAGAGCCGGCGAGCAGUACGACUGUCGCGCGCGAGGGCGGCCUCCGAAACGCAGAUGCUGGGUUGCCUCCUUGCAGGGGCCAAAACGCUGGGGAGGGGGAUUCCGGCGAACUGCGUGCGGCCGGAGAAACAAACGUCUGUCAUCGUGCAGAUUCGCCGUGGGAGGCCAGGCGGCAGACGUACUCAGGAAUCCAAGUAUUUUUUCCUUGUUGGCCGCAACAAAUUCUCUGUAUUUGAUUUGAUGGGAAUUUGUUUUCUUUUUUUCUUUUUGAGAGAGAGAAGAAAGAAUAUUGGACGGGAGGACGGAGGUUGGAUUGGAGAAGAAGAGUCGAGUCGAGAAAAGGAGCGUCGCGAAUCGUCUCGCUCCUCUCUUCGCGAAUCGUCGCGAAUCGUUUCUUGUUCGGCAUGCAGCCACAAAACAGCAUGCCUUGUUCGGCAUCUUUGCACCGUCGUUAACCGGUUUUUUUUCGAUUCCUUGGCGUGCGUGCAGCUCGGAGGGCCAUCAUGGACGAUUUUACUGGGAAGAAGGGAUUCCACGGGCGCAAACGUCCAGGCCCGCACACCAGCGGGCAGGCGCAGUGCAGCUCCUUCCGCUCCCGGAUCUACGGCGGCGACACCAACAUCAACGCGCCCUACGCCGCAUCUCUCCGGGCCAACUGCCCCCAGUCCGGCGGCAACGGCAACCUGGCGCCGUUGGACACGACGACGCCCAACACCUUCGACAACGCAUACUACACGGACCUCCUAUCCUAGAAGGGGCUCAUGCACUCGGACCAGGUGCUCUUCAACAACGACACCACCGACAACACCGUCCGCAACUUCGCGUCGAGCGCGGCGGCCUUCAGCAGCGCCUUCACGACGGCCAUGAUCAAGAUGGGCAACAUCGCGCCGCUCACCGGGGUGCACGGCCAGAUCAGGCUCAGCUGCUCCAAGGUGAACUCCUGAUUGACGUACAUGUUGGCAGCUCGCCGGCACGGCACGUCAAUGAAUAAGUUCCCAGAAGCAGUAGCCAAGACCAAUUAUAGCACUUAGCAACCCUACCCGGUCAUGGGCUACUCGGUGCAUGCUGUGGUGCUUGAAGACCUCAAGUUUGAAAUGCGUACCGGGUUUUCGAAGCCUGAGGUUCAGGCAUGCUAGAGAGAUUGCACUAGCUAAACUAGGUCUGCAAUGUAUUGGUGCCCAUGCUUUAAUGUGGGAGUAUGAUUACUGUCCAGCGGUUGUUGCUGAUCAUGUAAAAGGUGACAUGCCCACGUCUUAACAAAGCUUUGGUAGAUCAAUUAUGUACCAGCACUUGAAACGUGUGUUUUU